rnacentral:rRNA from 1 species
UACGGGGGGAGCAAGCGUUGUUCGGAUUUACUGGGCGUAAAGAGCGUGUAGGCGGCCAGACAAGUCUGCUGUGAAAACUCGAGGCUCAACCUCGAGCUGUCGGUGGAAACUGUCUGGCUAGAGUCCGGAAGAGGAGAGUGGAAUUCCUGGUGUAGCGGUGAAAUGCGCAGAUAUCAGGAAGAACACCUAUGGCGAAGGCAGCUCUCUGGGACGGUACUGACGCUGAGACGCGAAAGCGUGGGGAGCGAACAGG